UACGAAGGGGGCUAGCGUUGCCCGGAUUCACUGGGCGUAAAGCGCAUGUAGGCGGCCUUUUAAGUCAGGGGUGAAAUCCUGGAGCUCAACUCCAGAACUGCCUUUGAUACUGGGAAGCUUGAGUCCGGGAGAGGUGAGUGGAACUCCGAGUGUAGAGGUGAAAUUCGUAGAUAUUCGGAAGAACACCAGUGGCGAAGGCGGCUCACUGGCCCGGUACUGACGCUGAGGUGCGAAAGCGUGGGGAGCAAACAGG
rnacentral:rRNA from 1 species